GAUGAACGCUAGCGGGAGGCUUAAUACGUGCAAGUCGAGGGGUAACAUGGAACUUCGGUUUUGAUGACGACCGGCGCACGGGUGAGUAACGCGUACAUAACCUACCUAUUACAGAAGGACAGCCCUGGGAAACUGGGAUUAAUACUUCAUGGUCUUAUUGAAUCGCAUGAUUUGAUUAGUAAAGUUUCGGCGGUAAUAGAUGGAUGUGCGUACUAUUAGGUAGUUGGUAAGGUAACGGCUUACCAAGCCUACGAUAGUUAGGGGGCGUGAGAGCGUGAUCCCCCACACGGGUACUGAGACACGGACCCGACUCCUACGGGAGGCAGCAGUAAGGAAUAUUGGUCAAUGGGGCAACCCUGAACCAGCCAUCCCGCGUGUAGGAUGACUGCCCUAUGGGUUGUAAACUACUUUUAUAUAAGAAGAACCGUACUCAUUUAUGAGUGCCUGACGGUACUAUAUGAAUAAGCACCGGCUAAUUCCGUGCCAGCAGCCGCGGUAAACGUGCGUGACG
rnacentral:rRNA from 1 species